GAAUUCGCCCUUAGAGUUUGAUUCUGGCUCAGGACGAACGCUGGCGGCGCGCCUAACACAUGCAAGUCGAACGAGAGAUGAGGAGCUUGCUCUUCAAAUCGAGUGGCGAACGGGUGAGUAACGCGUGAGGAACCUGCCUCAAAGAGGGGGACAACAGUUGGAAACGACUGCUAAUACCGCAUAAGCCCACGGCUCGGCAUCGAGCAGAGGGAAAAGGAGCAAUCCGCUUUGAGAUGGCCUCGCGUCCGAUUAGCUAGUUGGUGAGGUAACGGCCCACCAAGGCGACGAUCGGUAGCCGGACUGAGAGGUUGAACGGCCACAUUAGGACUGAGACACGGCCCAGACUCCUACGGGAGGCAGCAGUGGGGAAUAUUGCACAAUGGGGGAAACCCUGAUGCAGCGACGCCGCGUGGAGGAAGAAGGUCUUCGGAUUGUAAACUCCUGUUGUUGAGGAAGAUAAUGACGGUACUCAACAAGGAAGUGACGGCUAACUACGUGCCAGCAGCCGCGGUAAAACGUAGGUCACAAGCGUUGUCCGGAAUUACUGGGUGUAAAGGGAGCGCAGGCGGGAGAACAAGUUGGAAGUGAAAUCCAUGGGCUCAACCCAUGAACUGCUUUCAAAACUGUUUUUCUUGAGUAGUGCAGAGGUAGGCGGAAUUCCCGGUGUAGCGGUGGAAUGCGUAGAUAUCGGGAGGAACACCAGUGGCGAAGGCGGCCUACUGGGCACCAACUGACGCUGAGGCUCGAAAGUGUGGGUAGCAAACAGGAUUAGAUACCCUGGUAGUCCACACCGUAAACGAUGAUUACUAGGUGUUGGAGGAUUGACCCCUUCAGUGCCGCAGUUAACACAAUAAGUAAUCCACCUGGGGAGUACGACCGCAAGGUUGAAACUCAAAGGAAUUGACGGGGGCCCGCACAAGCAGUGGAGUAUGUGGUUUAAUUCGACGCAACGCGAAGAACCUUACCAAGUCUUGACAUCCCUUGACGAUGCUGGAAACAGUAUUUCUCUUCGGAGCAAGGAGACAGGUGGUGCAUGGUUGUCGUCAGCUCGUGUCGUGAGAUGUUGGGUUAAGUCCCGCAACGAGCGCAACCCUUAUGGUCAGUUACUACGCAAGAGGACUCUGGCCAGACUGCCGUUGACAAAACGGAGGAAGGUGGGGAUGACGUCAAAUCAUCAUGCCCUUUAUGACUUGGGCUACACACGUACUACAAUGGCGUUAAACAAAGAGAAGCACGACCGCGAGGUGGAGCAAAACUCAGAAACAACGUCCCAGUUCGGACUGCAGGCUGCAACUCGCCUGCACGAAGUCGGAAUUGCUAGUAAUCGUGGAUCAGCAUGCCACGGU
rnacentral:rRNA from 1 species